GUAUCCUUAAACGCCAUAUAUACCAAACGAAACCUUGAAGUAGUCGACAAUAACAUUUGGCGAUUACAAAUGUACAACAAUUUCAAUGCGAUCUUCUUAUUCUUACCCUUAAUGGCAAUUAUGGGUGAGUUUAAGGUGAUGUAUAACUUCCCCAUGAUCAACAGUGCUUACUUUUGGGGCGUGAUGACCUUAUCUGGGUUGUUCGGCAUUGCGAUAGGUUAUGUAACUGGCCUCCAGAUUAAGGUGACCAGCCCACUGACUCAUAACAUCAGUGGAACGGCCAAAGCAUGCGCACAGACCAUAUUGGCAGUGUCUGUGUAUCAAGAAAUCAAAACUCCCCUGUGGUGGCUCAGUAAUGUUUUCGUAAUCGGGGGAUCGGGUAUGUAUUCCAAAGUCAGGCAUGAUGAGAUGCGACAGAAUAUGACUACGUUACCAGUCGCCGACUCCAAGGACAGUGACCUCGCAACUGAGAGCCCU